rnacentral:rRNA from 1 species
UACGUAGGGUGCGAGCGUUGUUCGGAAUUACUGGGCGUAAAGAGCUCGUAGGCGGUCUGUCGCGUCGGUCGUGAAAACUUGGGGCUUAACCCUGAGCUUGCGGUCGAUACGGGCAUGACUGGAGUUCGGCAGGGGAGACUGGAAUUCCUGGUGUAGCGGUGAAAUGCGCAGAUAUCAGGAGGAACACCGGUGGCGAAGGCGGGUCUCUGGGCCGAUACUGACGCUGAGGAGCGAAAGCUAGGGUAGCAAACGGG